UGUUGCAAUAGCACACUGAAUACACUGAUCUUGUCUGAUCUCAGAAGCUAAGCACAGCUAGACCUGGUUAGUACUUGGAUGGAGAUUUGUUUCAAUAUUACAAAGGUAAUGGAACAA
rnacentral:rRNA from 1 species